ensembl:lncRNA
ACAUGAACCUUUAAAAUAAGAGAACUUUCUUCAGCUGGCUGCCAGAGAGGAAGUCAGAAAGCUUUUGAGCAUGAGAUAGCACAGGGACAUGCUUUUAUUUGUUUGAAGCUGGAAGGGGCCACAUGAGAAGGAAUGUGGGCAGCUUCUAAGAGCAAACAACAGUCCCUGGCUGACAGCCAGCCAAGAAACGAGGACCUCCAUCCUACACCUGCAAGGAACUGAAUUCUGCCGACACCUGAAUGAGCUUGAAAGUGGGUUCUCUUCCAACACCUCCAGAUAAGAGUCCAGCUGGCUUACAACUUCGUUUCAGCCUUGUGAUACCCUGAGAAGAGCCCAGCUUAGCCUGCCAGGACCCCUGACCUACACAAGGCCUUUGGGUAGUCCUCUCACGCAUGACUCUGGGCUUGGCCACGUGACUGUUCACUGAUGGAACAUCAUAAGAUGUGAUGCAGGCAGUCAUUUUGUGCCCUGAAACGUUCUUUCUUGCUGCUGGAGACUCUGCAUCCAUCGAAGAAGCUCAGGACAGCCUGCUGGGGACAUGGCCCAGCUGAAAACAACAUAUGCCAGGUCAUGAAUUUCAAACUAUCUAUCUUCACUUGGUGACUUGGAUGACUGAAAAUGAGGCAGUGAUCUUAGAAGCCAAGCAAAACUGCCCAACCCACGCUGUUUGCCCAUAGUUUCAUGAGAAUAAAAUGGUAUUUUAAGUCACUAAGCUUUGAGGCAGUUUGUUACUCCACCAAAGUGUAAUAGAUUUUCUGAGGCAAAAAUAUGUCAAUUGAAAUAUGAAGGCUUCGGGGAGAUGAGUUAGGCAAGGCAGAGGAGAAGCAAUUUUCCAGGUAGAGGAAAUAGCAUUGAUGAAGAACUACCCAUGUGGUGAGUUUGGGCCAUAUGGAAGCGUGUCAGAGCAGCUAGAACAAGAAGAGUGAAAACAGUAGGAAGUAAGUUUGGUGAGGCAAGAGGCAGACAGAUUAUGCAUGGCUUCUGUAUUCAUUAGCUAUUGCCAUAAUACUGCUGUAUACUAAGUGUAGUGAAAAGUCUCAGUCGCUCGGUCACGUCUGACUCUCUGCCACCCCAUGGGCUGUAGGAC